GAUUAGAUAACAUAAAUGGUUAAUGUGAGAAACUGCAAAUUUCUUUAAAUUGGUUCGAUUCCAUUUCUAAUCU
rfam:Blastocystis hominis, Singapore isolate B (sub-type 7) whole genome shotgun sequence assembly, scaffold_32